rnacentral:rRNA from 1 species
AUACGUAUGUCGCAAGCGUUAUCCGGAAUUAUUGGGCGUAAAGCGAGUCUAGGCGGCUUGUUAAGUCAGAUGUGAAAAUGCGGGGCUCAACUCCGUAUUGCGUUUGAAACUGGCAGGCUAGAGUACUGGAGAGGUGGGCGGAACUACAAGUGUAGAGGUGAAAUUCGUAGAUAUUUGUAGGAAUGCCGAUAGUGAAGACAGCUCACUGGACAGAUACUGACGCUAAAGCUCGAAAGCGUGGGGAGCAAACAGGAUUAGAUACCCGAGUAGUCC